UCUCAGUUCGGAUUGGAGUCUGCAACCCGACUCCAUGAAGCUGGAUUCGCUAGUAAUCGCGCAUCAGCCACGGCGCGGUGAAUACGUUCCCGGGCCUUGUACACACCGCCCGUCAAGCCAUGGAAGCCGGGAGUGCCUGAAGUGCGUGACCGCAAGGAGCGUCCUAAGGCAAUACCGGUGACUGGGGCUAAGUCGUAACAAGGUACC
rnacentral:rRNA from 1 species